rnacentral:rRNA from 1 species
AGCGAACGCUGGCGGCAGGCUUAAUACAUGCAAGUCGAGCGGGCACCUGUCGAGGUUUCAGCGGCGGAGGGGUGAGUAACGGGUGGGGACGUGCGCUCUGGUUCGGACUAAAUGAGGGAAACUGGAGCUAAAAACGGAUACUCCCUCCUGGGGAAAGGCUUGAGGGCGGGGGAUAGGACCGCGUCUGAUUAGCUAGUUGGUGUGGUAACGGCUCACCAAGGCGACGACCAGUAGCUGGUCUGAGAGGAUGAUCAGCCAACCUGGGACAGCGACACGGCCCAGACUCCUACGGAAGGGCGCAGUGGUGAAUAUUGGACAAUGGGCGCAAGCCUGAUCCCGCCAGGCCGCGUGAGUGAUGAAGGCCUUAGGGUUGUAAAGCUCUUUUAUCCGGGACGAUAAUGACGGUACCGGAGGAAUAAGCCCCGGCUAACUUCGU